UACGUAGGGGGCAAGCGUUGUCCGGAUUUAUUGGGCGUAAAGAGCGUGUAGGCGGCUUGACAAGUCUGCUGUGAAAACUCGAGGCUCAACCUCGAGAUGUCGGCGGAAACUGUCUGGCUAGAGUCCGGAAGAGGAGAGUGGAAUUCCUGGUGUAGUGGUGGAAUGCGUAGAUAUCGGGAGGAACACCAGUGGCGAAGGCGGUUGCCUGGAGCUUUGCUGACGCUGAUGCGCGAAAGCGUGGGGAGCGAUCCGG
rnacentral:rRNA from 1 species